rnacentral:rRNA from 1 species
UACGUAGGGUGCGAGCGUUAAUCGGAAUUACUGGGCGUAAAGCGUGCGCAGGCGGUUUUGUAAGCCGGAUGUGAAAUCCCCGGGCUUAACCUGGGAAUGGCAUUCGGGACUGCAAGGCUGGAGUGCGGCAGAGGAGACUGGAAUUCCUGGUGUAGCAGUGAAAUGCGUAGAUAUCAGGAGGAACACCCGUGGCGAAGGCGGUUCUCUGGGACGGUACUGACGCUGAGACGCGAAAGCGUGGGGAGCGAACAGG